AUCCCCAAUAAGUCGUAUAUACUCAAUAAUAUGGUUUGAACGUUUCUACCCGACCACCAUAAAUGGUUGGACUAUGACUUUAGAUAAAAA
rnacentral:ncRNA from 1 species